GGAUUAGGCAUGCAAGUCGAGCGGCAAGGUUGUUUUCGAAUGACCCUAGAGCGGCGGAAGGGAUAGGAAUUUAUAGGUAACAUGCCUCUUAGGUCUGGAUAGCGUCUGGAAACAGACGAUAAUACAGGAUGAGGUCUUCGGACCAAAGGUGGGAUUCCCCUAGGAGAUUGGCCUAUAACCUAUUAGCUAGUUGGUAGGGUAACGGCUUACCAAGGCGAUGAUGGGUACGGGGCGUGAGAGCGUGACCCCGAUCACUGGGACUGAGACACUGCCCAGACGCCUACGGGCGGCUGCAGUCGAGAAUCUUCGGCAAUGGACGGAAGUCUGACCGAGCGACGCCGCGUGUAUGAUGAAGGUCUUCGGAUUGUAAAAUACUGUCGAUAGGGCGGAAAUUUAGGAGGGCUAUCCCUCUUAUUUGACCUAUCUUUUGAGGAAGGACGGGCUAAGUUCGUGCCAGCAGCCGCGGUAAUA
rnacentral:rRNA from 1 species